UGAAUGACUCUCGGCAAAGGAUAUCUCGGCUCUCGCAUCGAUGAAGAACGUAGCGAAAUGCGAUACUUGGUGUGAAUUGCAGAAUCCCGUGAACCAUCGAGUCUUUGAACACAUGUUGCGCCYAA
rnacentral:rRNA from 1 species